AAGUCGUAACAAGGUUUCCGUAGGUGAACCUGCGGAAGGAUCAUUCAUGAAUUACUAGCAUGCUCUAUGCUGCUAAUAAUCAUCGCUCUUGUGAACCGAAUGUGAGCUGUGCUGCUGUUUGCUGCUGCGGGGAGCAAUCUCCGCCGGGCGAGCGGGCCAGUCUUACAAACACACACACACACACAUUGUCUUUGUUUAUAGCUUAUCAAACACACACGUAUUUUCAAUAAUACACACAACAACUUUCAGCAACGGAUCUCUAGGCUCUC
rnacentral:misc_RNA from 1 species